rnacentral:rRNA from 1 species
GCAUAACGCGAAGAACCUUACCAAGGCUUGACAUACACCAGAACACCCUAGAAAUAGGGGACUCUUUGGACACUGGUGAACAGGUGGUGCAUGGUUGUCGUCAGCUCGUGUCGUGAGAUGUUGGGUUAAGUCCCGCAACGAGCGCAACCCUCGUUCUAUGUUGCCAGCACGUAAUGGUGGGAACUCAUGGGAUACUGCCGGGGUCAACUCGGAGGAAGGUGGGGAUGACGUCAAAUCAUCAUGCCCCUUAUGUCUUGGGUUUCACGCAUGCUACAAUGGCCGGUACAAAGGGCUGCAAUACCGUGAGGUGGAGCGAAUCCCAAAAAGCCGGUCCCAGUUCGGAUUGAGGUCUGCAACUCGACCUCAUGAAGUCGGAGUCGCUAGUAAUCGCAGAUCAGCAACGCUGCGGUGAAUACGUUCCCGGGUCUUGUACACACCG